CUUCUCGGGGUAGACGCCCGCUCACAUAUAGGGGUUCUGAGCGGACGCCGGCUCACAUAUACCGGGUUCCGGCGGGACGCCCGCUCACGUAUGGCGGCUCCCGGCGGGACGCCCG
rnacentral:rRNA from 1 species